rnacentral:rRNA from 1 species
GGUUCGAUUCCGGAGAGGGAGCCUGAGAAACGGCUACCACAUCUAAGGAAGGCAGCAGGCGCGCAAAUUACCCAAUUCUAACAGUUUGAGAGAGGUAGUAACAAGAAAUAACAAUACAAGGCAGUUAAAAUGCUUUGUAAUUGGAAUGAUAGAAAUUUAAACCCUUUUUAAAGUAUCAAUUGGAGGGCAAGUCUGGUGCCAGCAGCCGCGGUAAUUCCAGCUCCAAUAGCGUAUAUUAAAAUUGUUGCAGUUAAAAAGCUCGUAGUUGAAGUUCUGCUAAAAGUAACCGGUCUGCUUUUAAUAAAGGUGGUAUCUUGGUGUGUAUUUAGCAAUGAUGUCCUUUGAAGUGUUUUUUACUUUAUUGUAAUAAAGCAUAUUCAGGACUUUUACUUUGAGAAAAUUAGAGUGUUUCUAGCAGGCUAACGCUUUGAAUACUGCAGCAUGGAAUAAUAAGAUAGGAUUUUAGUUCUACAUUAUUGGUUUUAAGAGCUAAAUUAAUGAUUGAUAGGGACAGUUGGGGGCAUUUGUAUUUAACUGUCAGAGGUGAA